ACCGGCAAACGGGUGCGGAACACGUACAGAACCUUCCUUCGAGCGGGGAAUAGCCCAGAGAAAUUUGGAUUAAUACCCUAUAGUAUAUUGGAGUGGCAUCACUUUGAUAUUAAAGAUUUAUCACUUGAAGAUGGCUGUGCGGCUGAUUAGGUAGUUGGCGGGGCAACGGCCCACCAAGCCUACGAUCAGUAACUGGUGUGAGAGCACGACCAGUCACACGGGCACUGAGACACGGGCCCGACUCCUACGGGAGGCAGCAGUAAGGAAUAUUGGUCAAUGGACGCAAGUCUGAACCAGCCAUGCCGCGUGGAGGAUGAAGGUCCUCUGGAUUGUAAACUUCUUUUAUCUGGGACGAAAAAGGGCUUUUCUAAGUCAACUGACGGUACCAGAUGAAUAAGCACCGGCUAACUCCGUGCCAGCAGCCGUGGUAAUACGGAGGGUGCAAGCGUUAUCCGGAUUCACUGGGUUUAAAGGGUGCGUAGGUGGGUUGGUAAGUCAGUGGUGAAAUCUCCGAGCUUAACUUGGAAACUGCCAUUGAUACUAUCAGUCUUGAAUAUUGUGGAGGUCAGCGGAAUAUGUCAUGUAGCGGUGAAAUGCUUAGAUAUGACAUAGAACACCAAUUGCGAAGGCAGCUGGCUACGCAUAUAUUGACACUGAGGCACGAAAGCGUGGGGAUCAAACAGGAUUAGAUACCCUGGUAGUCCACGCCCU
rnacentral:rRNA from 1 species